rnacentral:rRNA from 1 species
CAUGUCUUUUUGAAUAUGAUUUAAAGUUUAAUCUGCCCACUGAAUUGUUUUGAAGGGCCGCAGUAAAUUGACUGUGCGAAGGUAGCAUAAUCAUUUGUCUUUUAAAUGGAGGCUGGUAUGAAUGAUUGGACGAGGUGUAAACUGUCUCAUUGCUAUAAAUAUAAUAAUUUAACUUUUUAGUCAAAAGGCUGAAAUUUCAUUGGAGGACGAGAAGACCCUAUAGAUCUUUAUAUUAUAUUUUAUUUUAAGAUUUGGUAAGAUAAUAUUAAUUUAUUUGACUAAUAUUGUGUUGGGGGUGACAGGAAAAUUUAAUAAACUUUUCUUUUUUGGGACACGGAUUAGUGAGUAUUUGAUCCACUAUUAGUGAUUAUAAGAUUAAGUUACCUUAGGGAUAACAGCGUAAU